AAUGAGCAUAAUUAUUCCAACAAUAUUGUGUUAUGUAACAUAGACUCAAGUCAACUAAACUUGUGUCGUGCUGCAGUCGAAACCCUCCACCACCAGAUGAAAAAUGUUGUGCAGUUAUUCGCCAGGCCAAUUUGCCUUGCCUCUGCAGAUACAAAUCUAUUCUACCUUCAAUUGGAAUUAACCCCAAAAAAGGCUUUGGCCUUGCCUGGUAAAUGUGGUCUGCAAUCGCCUCCUAAAUGUUGAGUGUAGCGAAGCAAUUAAUGAAGGUCAUGUUCAUUAGUCAUUACACGAACCUUAGUAUUCAAUUGGUUUCAGGUGUUUCAUUAACACUGAAGAUGCAAUUAAGUUUUAAGGCAGCAUUUGAAUUCCCUGGAAUAAAGGUGCAGUUUAUUUUAAUCAGUGUGUUAUGUAUGCCCAAAAGUUUGCAAGCAGGUGUGGUGUGGUGUGGUAUGUAGUAACAGUGUCUGAUGUUGUAGAUGUUGCAAAGGUGUUUGAUGUACAAGAAUACAGAAUAGCAUUACUCUUUUCCCCAUGUCUACACUUUUAAUAUGUUUAAUAUAAUUUCUGGUUUUUGGCGCUGAA